rnacentral:rRNA from 1 species
AUUGAACGCUGGCGGCAGGCCUAACACAUGCAAGUCGAACGAGUGGCGGACGGGUGAGUAAUGUCUGGGAAACUGCCUGAUGGAGGGGGAUAACUACUGGAAACGGUAGCUAAUACCGCAUACCAUCGGAUGUGCCCAGAUGGGAUUAGCUAGUAGGUGGGGGAACGGCUCACCUAGGCGACGAUCCCUAGCUGGUCUCAGAGGAGGACCCGCCAGACUGGAACUGAGAAACGGUCCAGACUCCUACGGGAGGCAGCAGUGGGGAAUAUUGCACAAUGGGCGAGAGCCGGAUGCAGCCAUUCCGCGUGUAUGAAGAAGGCCUUCGGGUUGGAAAGUACUUUCAGCGGGGAGGCGUUACCCGCAGAAGAAGCACCGGCUAACUCCGUGCCAGCAGCCGCGGUAAUUC